ACCGGGUAUGGUUGUAACAUGGGGAGAGUUGUAACACCACCAGUUCCAACAAUCAGGGAUAAGAUAGGAGUCACAUGAUCAUUCCAGCAUUUACCCGCUUCCUCCCCAAUCCCAUAUUGUGAUUGUCAAGGCUGGAAACAGGCACAUGCAGAUACUAAGGAGAAAAAACGGAUUUUGAGAAUGCCUAGGCAGUGAAUACAAAAGACUGAUGCUACUUACCUUCCCCUCCCCACUGUUGCCAUAAACUUCAGCCACUGGAUCGCAGUGUCUACGCCCCAUUUAAGAAAAUGGUGAACGCCGCAAGUGAUGCCUGGAUGAAGAUGAAUCCUGCCAAGACGAUAUAUGAUAUUCCAAGUAUUGUGAAGACUGCUCUGCCUGCAGCUGCAACACUGAAAAACAUUCAAGCCGGUUUCCAAUCCACUGGUAUUUGGCCCUUCAAUCCUGACAUUUUUGAGGAGUGUGACUAUGCACCCUCACAAGUCACUGACCGUCCCGACCCAGGUACAUCACUGACAUCUGAAGCUUUCCAGCCGCAGUCUCCACCAACUCACCUGGGGACAGUCUCCUCUCCUCCAACUCACCUGGAGACUACUACUUCUGGCUCCUCUGCAGUUAUUGAUGUGAACAUGUCCUGUGCUCCAGAUGAGCCAAGCACCUCGGGGGUGUCUCCUGGUUAGCCAUUCAAUCCUUUGGCUAUGUGGCCAUUUCCAAAAGCAGGGCCAAGGAAAACAACUGGCAGGAUCAGGAAGAAAAGGAAAUCUGAAAUACUCAAUGACACACCAGUGAAAGAAGCACUGAUGGAAGAAGAACAGAGAAGAGGAAGCAAACAUGUAAGGAAGAGUUUCUUUGCAAA